rnacentral:rRNA from 1 species
UAGGGAAUCUUCGGCAAUGGACGAAAGUCUGACCGAGCAACGCCGCGUGAGUGAAGAAGGUUUUCGGAUCGUAAAACUCUGUUGUUAGAGAAGAACAAGGACGUUAGUAACUGAACGUCCCCUGACGGUAUCUAACCAGAAAGCCACGGCUAACUACGUGCCAGCAGCCGCGGUAAUACGUAGGUGGCAAGCGUUGUCCGGAUUUAUUGGGCGUAAAGCGAGCGCAGGCGGUUUCUUAAGUCUGAUGUGAAAGCCCCCGGCUCAACCGGGGAGGGUCAUUGGAAACUGGGAGACUUGGGUGCAGAAGAGGAGAGUGGAAUUCCAUGUGUAGCGGUGAGAUGCGUAGAUAUAUGGAGGAACACCAGUGGCGAAGGCGGCUCUCUGGUCUGUAACUGACGCUGAGGCUCGAAAGCGUGGGGAGCAAACAGG